GUCGCUCAGAAAUAACUCGCCCAAUAAGUGGCACAACCUCCAAAGUCAUCAGAAACCUGCAUUCAAGAGCACAGAAGGUGCUCAUUGAGUUGAAAUGGAGUUAAGUGGAGUUCAAAAAAGCUUCCAGAAGAUGGAUCUGUUUAAGCUGUAACUUGAAGGGUGAAGAAAUAGAAAGUCCAGGCAGAGGAAAUAGUAUGUUUUAUUUUACAUAGUCAUGUAGUUUUUAUCAGAUAUCUUUGCACACAUUAGAAAUAAUUUUGAGGCCGGGUGCAAUGGCUCAUGCCUGUAAUCCCAGCACUUUGGGAGGCCAAGACACAUAGAUCACCUGAAAUCAGGAGUUCAAGACCAGCCUGGCCAACAUGGCAAAACCAUAUCUCUACUAAAAAUAUGAAAAAUAGCCAGGCAUGGUGGCAUGCACCUGUAAUCCCAGCUACUCAGGAGGCUGAGGCAGAAGAAUCACUUGAACCUGGGAGGCGGAGCUUGCAGUGAGCUGAGAUCGCGCCAUUGCACUCCAGCCUGGGCAACAG
rnacentral:lncRNA from 1 species